AUUGAACGCUGGCGGCAGGCCUAACACAUGCAAGUCGAGCGGAUGAAGGGAGCUUGCUCCUGGAUUCAGCGGCGGACGGGUGAGUAAUGCCUAGGAAUCUGCCUGGUAGUGGGGGAUAACGUCCGGAAACGGGCGCUAAUACCGCAUACGUCCUGAGGGAGAAAGUGGGGGAUCUUCGGACCUCACGCUAUUAGAUGAGCCUAGGUCGGAUUAGCUAGUUGGUGGGGUAAAGGCCUACCAAGGCGACGAUCCGUAACUGGUCUGAGAGGAUGAUCAGUCACACUGGAACUGAGACACGGUCUAGACUCCUACGGGAGGCAGCAGUGGGGAAUAUUGGACAAUGGGCGAAAGCCUGAUCCAUCCAUGCCGCGUGUGUGAAGAAGGUCUUCGGAUUGUAAAGCACUUUAAGUUGGGAGGAAGGGCAGUAAGUUAAUACCUUGCUGUUUUGACGUUACCAACAGAAUAAGCACCGGCUAACUUCGUG
rnacentral:rRNA from 1 species